AGUGAACGCUGGCGGUAGGCCUAACACAUGCAAGUCGAACGGCAGCACAGGAGAGCUUGCUCUCUGGGUGGCGAGUGGCGGACGGGUGAGGAAUACAUCGGAAUCUACUCUGUCGUGGGGGAUAACGUAGGGAAACUUACGCUAAUACCGCAUACGACCUACGGGUGAAAGCAGGGGAUCUUCGGACCUUGCGCGAUUGAAUGAGCCGAUGUCGGAUUAGCUAGUUGGCGGGGUAAAGGCCCACCAAGGCGACGAUCCGUAGCUGGUCUGAGGGGAUGAUCAGCAACACUGGAACUGAGACACGGUCCAGACUCCUACGGGAGGCAGCAGUGGGGAAUAUUGGACAAUGGGCGCAAGCCUGAUCCAGCCAUACCGCGUGGGUGAAGAAGGCCUUCGGGUUGUAAAGCCCUUUUGUUGGGAAAGAAAUCCAGCUGGCUAAUACCCGGUUGGGAUGACGGUACCCAAAGAAUAAGCACCGGCUAACUUCGUGCCAGCCGCCGCGGUAA
rnacentral:rRNA from 1 species